UCAAUGAGUUAUUAUUGUAACCGGGGUACUUACAGAUGACUUUACAACUAGUUUCUAUUCAAUAUUUCCCCCAAAUGCCCUUACUUCCCCUCCUGAAAAACAAUGACUCACAAAAUCUACACAACUGUUUGCCAAACUGCAAACAAUAACCACAGGCACUGGCAGUCCUAGAACCUCCAAACCUGCUCUCCCCUCUUGUACUCCCAGCAAAUACGUGGAGGUAGAGAUAAUUCUAGACUUCCAGCUGGAGCUGGAGCUGGUGAGAUAGAUAAAAAGGAAGAUAAAGAAUGUGAUGGAAAUAUGGGAAUACAGGGCAAGCUAGAUCUAGACAUGAAAAUGACAACUGAGAUAGAAACAGAGGUGGGAGUUAAGGUCCUACUACAUUGAGCAGAUGCUGCAGCCUCAUGCUCCUCCUCAGUGUCCCAGCCUGCUGAGGGAGAGAGCCAGGGUUAGCCCCCUAGGGCCCUGCUAUCUCCCCUGGGGCUGGGGCAGACCUGACCUGGGCUAGUCCCCUUGGCCACGUCAGACUCAGGAUGCUGAGCCAUGCCACUCUGAAGUCUGCACCAAGCCAGGGACAAAGGGGGAGUUAAAAGGAGUGAAAGAGAGAUGGGGAGAGGGGGAGUGUAUAGGCAGCAGGGGCAACAGAUGCCUUCUGAAACCACAGGGGACCACGGCAACUGGUGUCCUGUCCUGCUUAUCCUUCUACAGAGCGCGAACAGUAGAGGAUGAUACAUAUCACCACCAUCAUGUGACCCGGGAGUAGACCUCACUUUCACCCGUAAGCGCAGACAUGGACAUGUCCAUAAUGCUCUGUCACUCACUCACUUUAUAUUCUGACUUGCUCCCCAUUCUCUCUCUCUCCCCCCCUCACACACACCCUAACCACCUGCUGUUCACUCAGAACUGUUUGGUAAUAGUGAUGGAGUGGAUUCCUCCCCAUACAAACCCUGAGGAAAUGAGGAAAGACUUCACUGAGAUGCUUUGGUCUAACUCACCUACGCUUUCAUUAUCAUCCAGGAAACAAUGUGGCAGCCAGACUAGCACAAUAGGAAUCCCAGUUGUCACGAACCGGCUCAAAGCCCGUAACAAAAGGGGGACAACGUGGAGA
rnacentral:lncRNA from 1 species